AUCUGGGUAGAGAUGCAUGACUUGUGACAAGGCAUAAGAGGCAGUGUGCAUAAUGCAGAUCCAGGGAUAAUUAAGCUUUUCUUAAAAUGCUUUUGUGUCUGCACUUAAAUAGUUUUCUCACGAGAGAUUACCAUUGCCACAAAAUAGUCUCUCUGUAAUUAAUAAAAGCUUCUGUGAUGUGUAUGCAGUUUUUAUUCAUAACUUCUAACUCCAGCCUCUUUUGACUUAGGCUGCUACCAAAGAUUGUGGAUCCCCUGGUUUGCUCCACCUAGCAAAAUCACAUGGUUCAAAGAUAAAGAACAGGUGCAUCACUGUGCUUUCCACAAGAUGUAAUUCCUUUUUUUUCCAACUAAAAAGAUGGGUGUGCUAGAACAGCUGCAGGUAGCUGGACAUGCCUUCUGGACUUCCUAAACACCCCCAGUGCUCAUGGAGCUUGCUGAAGAGCAAUGGCACAUGGUUUUCUUAUUUAGGACUAUCCAGCAUUUCUGACUGCUUCUAGUUGUUUCAUGUCCCCUGAGAAAAGAAGAGCAAAAAGGUUUGGUUACUCAGUUAUUUUUGUGGGAGAGGAAUUCCCAUAUGACU
rnacentral:lncRNA from 1 species